AUUGAACGCUGGCGGCAUGCCUUACACAUGCAAGUCGAACGGCAGCAUGGAGAGCUUGCUCUCUGAUGGCGAGUGGCGAACGGGUGAGUAAUGCAUCGGAACGUACCGUGUAAUGGGGGAUAACGUAGCGAAAGUUACGCUAAUACCGCAUACGACCUGAGGGUGAAAGCAGGGGAUCGCAAGACCUUGCGUUAUACGAGCGGCCGAUGUCAGAUUAGCUAGUUGGUGAGGUAAAGGCUCACCAAGGCGACGAUCUGUAGCGGGUCUGAGAGGAUGAUCCGCCACACUGGGACUGGGAAAGGGCCCAGACUCCUACGGGAGGCAGCAGGGGGGAAUUUUGGACAAUGGGGGCAACCCUGAUCCAGCCAGGCCGCGCGAGUGAAGAAGGCCUUCGGGUUGUAAAGCUCUUUCGGCCGGGAAGAAAUCGCACAGGCUAAUACUCUGUGUGGAUGACGGUACCGGCAUAAGAAGCACCGGCUAACUACGUGCAGCCGCCGCCGUAA
rnacentral:rRNA from 1 species